UAGCCCCGAUCUCGAAACUUAACCCUUUUUGGAUUCCCGUGGGCUCGGCGGUGGCUGCCUGUCCCUCGGGCUCGGCGGCCGCCGCCGCUGGCCCGGUGCGCGGGGUGGCUGAUGGUGCACACUCUGGUGCUACGGCGCAGCAGUUUGUUUCUGGGGUUAAACCAGGAAUGGUUAAAUACCAGCCUUUGAAUUGUGUGGAUGAAGUGUGUGAGAGUGCGUGCAGUGUGAAGCAGGAUGAGGCUCACACAGCAGGGCAGGUGGAGACCUGCGCUCCUGAGCAGGUCGGGGCUGCAGGUGAGCCGAUGCAGGAGGAGGCUGCUGGCAUAGAGCAGAAGCUGCAGACUGACUCUCGGGCUGCUCCAGCUCACAGUCAGCAGGCAGGGGUUUUCUCUAAUGCUGAUGUAGAUUCUGAUUGUGUCUCUGUAGCAGACAGUGUGUCACUGAAUCCAGAUUUAUACUCUCUUGAGGAGGUGACAGGUUUUCUGGAUGACUCCUUUGGCAGAUCAGUGGAGGUGACAGACUAUUUCCCUGACAUGCAGAAGUUUGUCCAGUCUGUGGACACUCUGGAGAAGGUUGUAGGUAAGAACUCACUCAGCCAUGGCUCUAACCGUAGCGCUGGAGUGGCUGUUUUAUUCUCCCCUUCCUUACCUGUAAAUAUUUUAGCCAGCUCAGAGAUCAUGGUGGGCAGAGCUUUGAUGGUGAAGGUGGAGGUUAAAACAUCCCUCUGCUAAGCAGUACACCUAGGUGAGAGUCUCUGACGGCAUGGUUAGUGCAGCCAGACUCAACAGGUUUUAUAUGUCCUCUUCUUUUAUCACUUGUGCAGCCAGGUGUCAGAUCCAUCCUGUUGGCUUCACAGACCAUCACUUGGUUUUAUUGGAAAUGUUUUUUUAACCUCUCCUGGAAAGUCCAGGUCAUCCUGGCAUUUUAACGUUAAGCUUUUACAUGAUUUUAACUUUUAUAAUAAUUAUAAAUUGUUUUGGGCUGAAUGGAGGUCCAGGAAGGAGGAUUUCCCCUCUCUAAGUCAGUGGUGGGAGGUAGGAAAGGGGCAGAUUAGGGUGUUCUGCCAACAGUACACUGCCUACUCCACUGCUAAGGGCCAUGGACCAGCUGAAGGCAGAGAUCAGGGAGCUGGAGUGUGUGCCUGUGGGGGACCCUGAGCAGCUGUUCUCCAAAAAGCAGCAGCUGAACUCUUUCCUCCUGGAGAAAGCUAAAGGAGCCCUGGUCCGAGCCCGCUUCACCAGCAUCAGGGACAUUGAUGCUCCAACAACCUUCUUUUUCAACCUGGAGAAGUCGGAAGGCCAAAAGAAAUAGAUGGUGUGUCUCUGUCUGCCUGAUGGGGGGUUAACGUCAGACCCCGCUGAGAUGAGGAGGCAUGCUGUGUCGUUUUACUCGGAGCUGUUUCGAGCUGAACAUGGUGAUGUGGAGGCUGCAGCUGAACUCCUACAGGACCUUCCUCAGCUGAGCCCAGCAGAACGGGACACCCUGAGCCUCGACAUCACCAUGGAGGCGCUAACCUCUGCGGUGACACACAUGGCCUCAGGCAAAGCUCCGGGUAUGGAUGGGUUACCAGCGGAUUUUUAUAAACACUUUUGGAGUACCCUGGGACAUGAUCUUCUGGGUAACUCUUCCAGCUUCCUGCAGGCCCACAGUGAUAUCACUGCUACCCAAGAAGGGGGACCUCACCCUGCUGAAAAACCGGAGACCAGUAGCCCUUUUAUGUAGUGACUAUAAAAUAUUGUCAAAGGUUUUAGCUAAUAAACUGAAGGUUUUUAUGGAUGUUUUUAUUUGUGCUGAUCAGUUUUACUGUGUCCCUGACAGAUCCAUCCUGGACAAUCUGUUUUUAAUGAGAGACACUUUUGAUGUGUGUAGACUUUACAAUCUGAAGACUGGAUUACUCUCUAUUGACCAGGAGAAGGCCUUUGAUCGUGUUGAUCACUCCUUUUUAUUUUCCACACUGCAGGCCUUUAGUGUUGGGGAGCACUUCUUGUCCUGGGUGAAGUUGUUGUACACUGGUGCAUGUUGUGUGUUAAAGUGGGGGAUAGGCUAAGCAGUCCUGUACCAGUGGGCAGAGGCAUCAGGCAGGGCUGCCCUCUCUCUAGUCAACUGUACAGUGUGGUCAUUGAGCCUCUUCUUUGUCAGCUCAGGAGGCGGUUGAGGGGCUUAUGUCUGCCUGAACCGGCUCAGAGCCUUUGAUUGUGUCAGCCUAUGCUGACGAUGUUAAUGUUUUUGUUCAGGGCCAGGAAGAUGUCCAGGAACUUAAGCAUUGCCUGGAUCUUUCUGAGAGGGCUGCAUCAGCCAAAGUGAACUGGGAGAAGAGCGAGGCAGUUUUAGUCGGCCACUGGAGUGCAGGAAGCACCCCUAGUCUUCCUGGUGGCCUUAGGUGGGGAAGCAGAGGGCUAAAGGUCUUGGGAGUGUAUUUGGGGAGUGAGGAAAUUACUGCUAAAAAAUGGGAGAGAGUGCUGGAAAAGGUAAAAGCCAAGUUAACUAAAUGGAAAUGGUUGCUACCUCAGAUGUCUUACAGGGGAAGAGCUCUGAUUGUCAAUUACCUGGUGGCCUCGUCUCUGUGGCAUAGACUCCAAGUGCUGAACCCUCCACCAAGCCUCGUGGGACAGCUGCAGCGACUCCUGGUGGACUUUUUCUGGUCUGGUCACCAUUGGCUAUGAGCGUCAGUCCUGUACCUUCCUGUGGCAGAGGGGGGGCAGGGUCUGAUAGAUAUCGCCUCCAGGACCGCUGCCUUCAGGCUUCAGGCAGCCCGACAGUUUCUGUAUGGACUUCCUAACUGCUGGUCAGAUGUAGCUCGGCUGCUGCUCCGGAAGGCUGGGCGGCUUCGCUUUGACAAACAGCUGUUUCUUCUGAAGCCCCCUGCUCUCACCUUCACUGAACUGACACCUUUCUACAGCUCUGGGUUUGUUGCGUGGAGGACUCUGGUUUCCACUCGACCAUCUGACCCCAAGCCUGGGAUGUGGCUGUUUGAGGAGCCACUUUUCGACAAUGAUCUUUUAGUUAACACCAUGUUUUCAUCCAACACCCUGAAAAGUGUCUUCACUGAAGCUGGAGUCAUCAAGCUUGGACAUCUUGCAAGAACACCUGUAGAGAGUAUGGCUGACAUGACCGGUAUACAAUCAAUCAGAGUGCUGCAGAACCUGGUGAAGGAGGUGUGGCAGUCUCUGUUGGGGCCUCUCCGGACUUUUGCUCAGAGUCGGGGUCUGACUGAACGUUGGAGGGAGGGCCAGGACUACAUCUUCCCCUCCCUGAGUGUGAGUCCUGCGGUGGGAGAAUGGAGGGAGGAGAGUGGACUGUUGCUGUCCUUUUUAAAGAGACCAUUACUGGGAGUCUUCAGCUCCUGCACGGGGAAGCAGCUGUACCUCAGCUGUGUGAAGGUACUGAACCUGUGCUCCCUCACAGGAGUCAGAGAGUCAAGGUGGACAGAGGUUUUUGGCUCAGACUUUUCCCCUAAUGGCAGCUGGAGGGUCCUGUAUAAGCCUCCUGUUGAGAAACACAUGGCGGAUCUCCAAUGGAGGAUUAUACAUGGAACGAUAGCUACAAACAGGUACAGAGCUCACCUUGAUCGAGGCACUGGGGAGGGAUGUCCCUUCUGCUCACAGUCAGAGACCAUAGAGCACCUGGUGCUGUCCUGUCCCAGACUGGCAGCUCUUUUUAAAGUGGUGCAGGAGUGGGUGGGGGGUUUGGGGGAGGUUUUCUCUUUCCCACUCUUUGUCUUUGGAAAGAUACGGUCUGUUGCCUCAAGGGUUUGGUGGCGGUACGUCUCAGGAUUGAGCACACCUUUUUACAAACUGAACCAAAAUUUGGAUGGUUUCAGGAAUGUGUGGGCUAUUGGGCAAGUCCUGU